rnacentral:rRNA from 1 species
CCUACGGGGGGCAGCAGUAGGGAAUCUUCCACAAUGGGCGAAAGCCUGAUGGAGCAACGCCGCGUGGGUGAAGAAGGUCUUCGGAUCGUAAAACCCUGUUGUUAGAGAAGAAAGUGCGUGAGAGUAACUGUUCACGUUUCGACGGUAUCUAACCAGAAAGCCACGGCUAACUACGUGCCAGCAGCCGCGGUAAUACGUAGGUGGCAAGCGUUAUCCGGAUUUAUUGGGCGUAAAGGGAACGCAGGCGGUCUUUUAAGUCUGAUGUGAAAGCCUUCGGCUUAACCGGAGUAGUGCAUUGGAAACUGGGAGACUGGAGUGAAGAAGAGGAGAGUGGAACUCCAUGUGUAGCGGUGAAAUGCGUAGAUAUAUGGAAGAACACCAGUGGCGAAAGCGGCUCUCUGGUCUGUAACUGACGCUGAGGUUCGAAAGCGUGGGUAGCAAACAGGAUUAGAUACCCUGGUAGUC